rnacentral:rRNA from 1 species
UACGUAGGUGGCUAGCGUUGUCCGGAUUUACUGGGCGUAAAGAGCGCGCAGGCGGUCGUUCAAGUCGAGUGUGAAAGCCCCCGGCUCAACUGGGGAGGGUCACUCGAUACUGAUCGACUCGAAGGCAGGAGAGGGAAGCGGAAUUCCCGGUGUAGUGGUGAAAUGCGUAGAUAUCUGGAGGAACACCGGUGGCGAAGGCGGCAUCCUGGACCAACACUGACACUGAGGAGCGAAAGCCAGGGGAGCAAACGGG